CUUUCUCCGCCGGCGACCGGCGCACGGGUGAGUAACACGUAUGCAACCUGCCCCUGUCAGGGGGACAACCCGCCGAAAGGCGGGCUAAACCCGCGUACAUGCCACCGGGGCAUCCCGGAGGCAGGAAAGGCUUCGGCCGGACAGGGAUGGCAUGCGGCGCAUUAGGCAGUAGGCGGGGUAACGGCCCACCUAACCGACGAUGCGUAGGGGUUCUGAGAGGAAGGUCCCCCACACUGGUACUGAGACACGGACCAGACUCCUACGGGAGGCAGCAG
rnacentral:rRNA from 1 species